GGGGAAGCACUCAGCAUAACUGUGCAAUUUUACCCACCAGUUGUCCUUUAGGGGCAGAAGAGGGGCUCAGCCCAUCAACUGAUCCAAGAAGACAGAGGUAUAGGCUAGAAGUUCAUACCGCAUGCCUGAUGGGGAGUGGUUGCAUCCUGGAGGUAUAAAGUACGAGUGGAGAGGCAGCAGGAAGAACGCACAUCUUGAGCAUAAAGAUCUGAUGCUGAUAAGUCAAGAUUUGGAAGGACCUCCUUGAGUCACUGGAGGGCUGACUGUUGUGGGAGCAUCAAGAAAAGCUGAGCCAGCAAAAGUUUCAAGGUCCUGAAGAGUUUUGCACCUGGCCCACCACAUCAGUGCUGCACUUGUGCCUGAUCACCAGGGACAAUUGUGUUCCUGUUUCCAUUGUGCAGUCAUGCAGAAAACAUCUCUCAUCCGAGCUCGAAGCGGUGGCGUGAGUUACACAUUGGUGGUGUGAGUCACACAUUACAGGCUGGCGUCAGCCACUUCCAGGAAGGAGGGCAGACAUGGCAGCAGGACUGGUGGAAUGGGGUGGCGCCUCUCUCCAGAGUAAGGAAGCCCAAUCCCCAUCCCUUGGCAGUGAAACUGACCUAAAAGUCUGACACACAUUUUAUUGUCUUCAGCCAUAGUUUUGGAAGAAUGGGCUGCAAACAGAGGCAUUCCUGCAGAGCAGAGCAGUGAAGGCCUCCUGACACCUCUAGAGCCCAUGUGGUAAUUUGUGUGAGUUGCCAUGCUUGUGUAACAGGUUUGGCUGGUCCAGAUACAACCCCUCAGCAGCUGCCUGCAUUUCUGGCAGCAUUAGCCAUCACCUAGCAACCGUGAAUUGUCACUGUCUUCUGUUUUGUCACCUCCUAAAGAGAAAGGGGUGUUGGAAGGCUUCUCUGUAUCCUUUCCCAUACAAUCAUCUAGUAUAGGAUUGUCAUUCCCCUGUUGCUGGAGGGGUGUCUCUCCUUCUAACCUUUAAGAAAUUUGGCUAAAGGAAAUGAAAAACCCAUACAGUCAAGCCCAGACUCACCUCCUCUUUAAAACUGUUUUGAUCUGCUGAGGAUCAAAGGAAGGCUGCAUUGACACCCAAUAUUCUCCAGAAUGGACAAUGGAACUUUUGUGAUUCACGCUACACUUCUGUACCUGGGUCUCAUUCACAUGCACAAGCAGUGUUGCAGAUCUGUCUGACUGCUCCCAGAAAGAUCACUCCUCCCUGGUUAGCUGCACCUUCAGAUCCCUUUCAGCCACGGAACAGUCUGGCUUUAAACUGAGUCCAGAGGCGAGAGGGAAAAAAAAAAAGUGGUUUCCUGACUUCUUGUUCUCCUAAUGCUUUAGCCCAUUUUCCAUUCAGAAGCCUUCUUCAAAUACAGUUUUAUAGCAUCUAAAUAGAAUG
rnacentral:lncRNA from 7 species